UUUUUAAUGUAAACCAGGAAUUUCUUGGGCCUUAUGCUGAGCCAUGGUGCUGCUGGAGAGCAAGCACUUCCUGAUGAAGCUGACCAGAUUCUUCUAGAAGUGCUGUUUGUCAUGCAGCGUGCUGAUCACCCUAAAGAAGUAUGAUGGUCAGACUAAACCCAUUCCAAGGAAAGUUCUGCGGAGGGCUGCGAGCCCUCAGACAGCAAGUGUCUGUUAAGAGCUACUGAUGGCAAAGGUUAGCACUGUGGUGAGCUCCCGAAGAAGUGAACAAGUUUCAGAUGGCUUACUCAAACCUACCGAGAGCUAUCAUGGAUGGGCGGAAGGAGGACAAAAGAACAAGAGCACACGUCUGUACUCCAGUCACCCCA